UACAGAGGGGGCAAGCGUUGUUCGGAAUUACUGGGCGUAAAGGGCGCGUAGGCGGCCCUUCUAAGUCGAAACGUGAAAUCCCUGGGCUCAACCCAGGAACUGCGUCCGAUACUGGAAGGCUUGAAUCCGGGAGAGGGAUGCGGAAUUCCAGGUGUAGCGGUGAAAUGCGUAGAUAUCUGGAGGAACACCGGUGGCGAAGGCGGCAUCCUGGACCGGUAUUGACGCUGAGGCGCGAAAGCCAGGGGAGCAAACAGG
rnacentral:rRNA from 1 species